rnacentral:misc_RNA from 1 species
GGUUUGAUUACCCAAGUUUGAG